rnacentral:rRNA from 1 species
UACAGAGGCCCCAAGCGUUACUGAGAAUCACUGGGUUUAAAGGGUGCGUAGGUGGUCCGUUAAGUUCGUUGUGAAAGCCCUGGGCUCAACCCAGGAACUGCUUCGAAUACUGGCGGACUUGAGGCUAGUAGGGGUUACUGGAACUGACGGUGGAGCGGUGAAAUGCGUAGAUAUCGUCAGGAACGCCAAUGGUGAAGACAGGUAACUGGGCUAGUUCUGACACUGAGGCGCGACAGCGUGGGGAGCGAACUGG